rnacentral:rRNA from 1 species
GAUGAACGCUGGCGGCGUGCCUAAUACAUGCAAGUCGAGCGAACAGACGAGGAGCUUGCUCCUCUGACGUUAGCGGCGGACGGGUGAGUAACACGUGGAUAACCUACCUAUAAGACUGGGAUAACUUCGGGAAACCGGAGCUAAUACCGGAUAAUAUAUUGAACCGCAUGGUUCAAUAGUGAAAGACGGUUUUGCUGUCACUUAUAGAUGGAUCCGCGCCGCAUUAGCUAGUUGGUAAGGUAACGGCUUACCAAGGCGACGAUGCGUAGCCGACCUGAGAGGGUGAUCGGACACACUGGAACUGAGACACGGUCCAGAAUCCUACGGGAGGCAGAAGUAGGGAAUCUUCCGCAAUGGGCGAAAGCCUGACGGAGCAACGCCGCGUGAGUGAUGAAGGUCUUCGGAUCGUAAAACUCUGUUAUUAGGGAAGAACAAAUGUGUAAGUAACUAUGCACGUCUUGACGGUACCUAAUCAGAAAGCCACGGCUAACUACGUG